rnacentral:rRNA from 1 species
GAUGAACGCUAGCGGCAGGCUUAAUACAUGCAAGUCGAGGGGGAUUAACUGGGUAGCAAUACUCGGUUAUGAGACCGGGAAACGGGUGCGGAACACGUACGCAACUUUCCCAAAACUGGUGAAUAGCCCUCCGAAAGGAGGAUUAAUACACCGUAACAUCACGAGAUGGCAUCAUUGUGGUAUUAUAGCUCCGGCGUUUGUGGGUGGGCGUGCGCCGGAUUAGGUGGUUGGCGGGGUAACGGCCAACCAAGCCUACGAUCAGUAAUUGGUGGGAGAGCACGACCAGUCACGCGGGCACUGAGACACGGGCCCGACUCCUACGGGAGGCAGCAGUAAGGAAUAUUGGUCAAUGGACGAAAGUCUGAACCAGCCAUGCCGCGUGAAGGAUGACGGCCCUCUGGGUUGUAAACUUCUUUUAUCUGGGACGAAAAAAGAUCAUUCUUGAUCACUUGACGGUACCAGAGGAAUAAGCACCGGCUAACUCCGUGCCAGCCGCCGCCGUAACAC